CCCUAAGAUAGCCUGGGCUGCACGCGAAUUACAAUGGCAAAAACAACGAGUUAUGGAUCAUUUCAGUUUAUUCUGGACUGGUUGUUCCUGCUCCGAAAGGAGUGGGUAAUCUUUUGAAAUUUUGUCAUGCUAGGGAUUGAAGAUUGGAAUCAUCUUCAUGAACGAGGAAUGCCUUGUAAACGGAGGUCAUUAGCCUCCAUUGAAUGAGUCCCUGUUCUUUGUACACACCGCCCGUCGCUUCUACCGAUUGAAUGGAUCGAUGAGAACUUAGGAGAGACGGGUCUAUCUGAGUGGGAGCUUCGGCGAACACUCAAGCCCUCUUGAAUUCUUUCGAAUCUCUCUAUUUAGAGGAAGAAGAAGUCGUAACA
rnacentral:rRNA from 1 species